rnacentral:rRNA from 1 species
AGUGAACGCUGGCGGUAGGCCUAACACAUGCAAGUCGAACGGCAGCACAGUAAGAGCUUGCUCUUACGGGUGGCGAGUGGCGGACGGGUGAGGAAUACAUCGGAAUCUACUUUUUCGUGGGGGAUAACGUAGGGAAACUUACGCUAAUACCGUAUACGACCUACGGGUGAAAGCAGGGGAUCUUCGGACCUUGCGCGAUUGAAUGAGCCGAUGUCGGAUUAGCUAGUUGGCGGGGUAAAGGCCCACCAAGGCGACGAUCCGUAGCUGGUCUGAGAGGAUGAUCAGCCACACUGGAACUGAGACACGGUCCAGACUCCUACGGGAGGCAGCAGUGGGGAAUAUUGGACAAUGGGCGCAAGCCUGAUCCAGCCAUACCGCGUGGGUGAAGAAGGCCUUCGGGUUGUAAAGCCCUUUUGUUGGGGAAGAAAAGCAGCAGGUUAAUACCCCGCUGUUCUGACGGUACCCAAAGAAUAAGCACCGGCUAACUUCGUG